GGGGUUGUAGCUCAGUCGGUUAGAGUGCUAGCCUGUCACGCUAGAAGUCGCGGGUUCGAGCCCCGUCAACCCCGCCA
rnacentral:tRNA from 1 species